ACCGCAAGUUCGUACGAUUGCUCCCCGUUAAUCCCCCAGGGUGGGAACACAGCAAGGGCAACAGGUCGUAGCGAUGCGAUACGGACUUGCUUUUUU
rnacentral:SRP_RNA from 1 species